CUUUACAGCCAUAAAUGUGCAGCCAAAGAGACAGUCAGUCACUCAGUCACUUCCUCCACCAGCAAACAGCCUCAACGCUUCACACAUCAACAGGUCGACAACUGAGACCAACACAUCAUGGAGAACAGAUCCAUCAGUUUGGAAUCUAUCCUGGAGGCAGCAGGUGUCACCGGAAACCCGUACCUGGCAGGGGGAUUCCUGAUGGUAACCUCCCUGCUGGGCUUCCUCAUCAUCAUCGGGGUCUUCUGGUACCAUCGCAGCAAUCUCAGCCUUUGUACAAGAUCCUGCGCCAUGUCCUUCACCUGCCAGGAAAACAUCAUGGGAGUUCAAGUCAUCCACAGCUCUGUAGUGUUUCUGCUCAUCAUGGAUGCUCUGAAUCUGAUCGUGGGAAUAAUCUUGGGAGCUGAGAUGGUUCGGUUGUCCUGCAUUGAAGGAAUCAACUGUACCUAUGUUAAAAUCAUCUGGUUCCUGUCCAGGUGGUUUGGAGUGAUUAUUCAUCUUCUGAAUGCCUCGUUGUCCAUCAAUCAGUUGUCUCAUCAGCCACUGAGUGUAACUAAGGUUCGCAUCAUCUACUCAUUGAUUUCUGUACUGAUUGUCAUUGUGGUCCCACUUUAUCUGUAUGUCAUCAAAGCGGGCGUAUUCACUUUGGCAGCUUUCAUGUUUCUGUUUGCUCUGUCCGUCAUUAUAACAUCGACAGCGUCUACCUCGUCUCCGUCCACUGACACCCUGAAGAAACUGAUCGUGGUUGUCACCAUGGUGAACUUCCUGAUUGUCUACGUCCCCACUUUCAUUGUUCAGUGCCUCCUUUACAGCUCACAUGACAACAAUGAAUUGGCGAAUUAUGAAAUUAUUUAUGCGGAUGUUCUGGUUUUCACAAACCUUCACCUCAUUUUUGAUGGAUUCCUGUGUGCUUUAGUCCUGAAAUUGCCUUCUGGACAACAACAGCAACAACAGUUGGGUUUCCCAAAUCCAGGAUACACUGUGUCUCCAACUGUAAAUCAGUCAUGAGCAAAAUUAUGUCUGCACCACAAAAAUCAAUGUGCAUCCCAACCACUGAUGGAUAAUCCAGGAUUGUGUCAUUCUUCAUAAUCAUGACUGUCAUCAUGGACUGUGUCUGUUGGACAGAAAGGUGCAGCUCCUACUUUAUUUAUGUAAACCUGAAAUCACAGAUGAAAAUCACCGUUUCAUCCUCUCUGUUUGAUUUGAAAUCCAGCAUAAAGGAAGAGGAAAUGUGUGAAUACUUUCAUAAUGUGCUGGCAGUGGAGAGCUGCAGAAAGUUAAGUUGAUGAAAAUAGCAGCUACUUUUCAAACUUUUCAAAAUAAAACAUCUGCUCAAUAUGUUGGUUUGUCCAAUUACUUAAAGGUGGAGGGCGCAACUAAAAUGUGUUGCAAUACCAACGAUGAACUGCUUUGGAUGUAAAUACCCUCAAAUUCUAUGGAAUAAAUUUCCUAUCAUAAUUCAA